CCACUAAACAUUAGACGUCUUAUGGACGUGCAGAUCAUGUCUAUAUUGCGUCGGUCGGUCCAAGACCAAUUCUGUACGUCUACACGACGUGCAAACUAGGUCCACUAUUUGGACGUCUAACUAUGACCCCACUUGGACGCCAAUAUGCAGUUAAACAUUUGAACGUCGGACUAGGUCACUUUUUUGGACGUCAUGGGGACGUCUAAUACAGGUGCAGGAAAUUAACGUUAUUUAAGAAUAUAUUUAUUUUUAAAUGUAUGUCAAAAUUGUUGUUAUCAAUAUUGUUAAUCACUAUGAAUAUAGAUUAUUUAUGAUUAAGCAUCAUUUAUUUCUAAUUAUUUAUUUGAGUAUUAUAUUUGUAUCUAUUUAAUUAAUUAAUUAAUGUAGGUAUUUAUUUACGUAUGUUUUUAUUUUUAUUUGGAAAUGCAAUUUAUGUGGAAAAUUGUUAAGUUGAUUUCAACCAGUCAAUGCCACUCUGAUUUGCUGAGACCGCAUGUCAUCAUAAACUCCACUCUGAUAUGCCGAGGCAAAACACGCUCAACAUUUUUUGGCUGCUGCAGUAGCUCAGCUCAGCUCAGCUCGUUCAGUUCAGCUCGCUCAGCUCAGCUCUGCUCCGGACCGGACUCAGCUGCCACUAAGCUAUAAGAUGGAGUCAUGAAAUGUGACGGGACAGCCACCGAGGAUUUCAUACGGAUGUGUACUUCGGAGCAUCUCAAACAUGCACCACAAAGACGUGGAGGACACACCGCUGUCUCUCAGGACCUAGAAUCUUAAUGAAAGUAUAAUGAUGUUAAGGGAAGGUGUAAUGGAAAGGUGUAAUAGUGUUAAGGGAAGGUAUAAUAUUGUUAAGGGAAGGUGUAAUGUUAAAGGUGUAAUAGUGUUGAGGGAAGGUGUAAUGUAAAUGUGUAAUAGUGUUGAGGGAAGGUAUAAUAUUGUUAAGGGAAGGUGUAAUGUUAAAGGUGUAAUAGUGUUGAUGGAAGGUGUAAUAGUGUUGAUGGAAGGUAUAAUAUAAAGGUGUAAUAGUUUAAAGGGAAGGUAUAAUAUUGUUAAGGGAAGGUGUAAUGUUAAAGGUGUAAUAGUUUUGAGGGAAGGUAUAAUGUAAAGGUGUAAUAGUUUAAAGGGAAGGUAUAAUAUUGUUAAGGGAAGGUGUAAUGGUGUAAUAGUUUUGAGGGAAGGUGUAAUAUUGUUAAGGGAAGGUGUAAUGUUAAAGGUGUAAUAGUGUUGAGGGAAGGUGUAAUGUUAAAGGUGUAAUAGUGUUGAGGGAAGGUAUAAUAUUGUUAAGGGAAGGUGUAAUGUAAAGCUGUAAUAGUUUUAAGGGAAGGUAAAUGUUUAGUGAAAUUGUUAUGGUGUGAAUCUAAGGUGUAUGUUAUGUUGAUGUAAAAUAAAGGCAUUAACCCCAAA